rnacentral:rRNA from 1 species
GGGAGUAGCCCAGCGCCGAAUCCCCGACCGUCCUGGUCGGGGACCUGUGGCGUUUAGGAGUGAGCGUGCCGAGUUCGGAGAGGGCAGCAAGUUCCCCUGACCGGGACCUAUCCGUAGCGGGUGCGAGGCCCAUAGCCGCCCCCUCCGUCUCGGAUGCGAUCUCCUGGGAGUCGGGUUGCUUGGGAGUGCAGCCCCAAUCGGGUGGUAAACUCCACCUAAGGCUAAAUACCGCCGUCAGACCGAUAGCAAACAAGUACCGUGAGGGAAAGUUGCAAAGAACUUUGAAGAGAGAGUUCAAGAGUACGUGAAACUGCUUAGAGGUAAACGGGUGGGCCCUCGAAAUCCUGUGGCGAGAGGAUUCAGUCUGGCGUCGCGGGCGCGCAGGUCGGAAGAUCGGAAGGGCUUCCCUGUGCAGGGGCCGUCCGUCCGCGCGACUCUCUCGUCGCCAGACGCAUUUGUCUCUCGUCCGAAGGACGCUGCAGCCGGUCGGGCAGAGCAAGCGCGACGGCCUGAAGGGCGGGAGCUGGCAGGUGGCCGCUGGCGUGCCUCGGCGCGUCGGCGGUUGUUAGCCGUCCCGUCGGUGGCUCGUCGCCCGACCGAGGUGUCGCGAGGCCGCGUUCGUGGCCUCUCCGUCUCCUCUCCUCGGAGAUGCGGGACAGACCGUCGCAGGCGAAAUCCGCCGUCCCGUCGCACUCCCUCGGAGUGGUCGGGCGAACGGAGGGCGCCGUUGGUGACGGCGGACCCGUGGGAGGUCGGAGGCUUGCAGCGAGUAGGUCGGUCACCCACCCGACCCGUCUUGAAACACGGACCAAGGAGUCUAACAUGUGCGCGAGUCAAUGGGUCUUGAACAGGCCCAGGGGCGCAAUGAAAGCAAAGGUCGGCCCCAGUCGACCGAGUCGGGAUCCCGUCCCCCUCCGGGGAUGGGCGCACCGACGACCCGUCCUAUCCGGCUCGCCGGUUGGGCGGAGUGUGAGCGUACACGUUGGGACCCGAAAGAUGGUGAACUAUGCCCGGACAGGACGAGGCCAGAGGAAACUCUGG